UACAGAGGUCUCAAGCGUUGUUCGGAUUCAUUGGGCGUAAAGGGUGCGUAGGUGGCGCGGUAAGUCAGGUGUGAAAUUUCGGAGCUUAACUCCGAAACUGCAUUCGAUACUGCCGUGCUUGAGGACUGGAGAGGAGACUGGAAUUUACGGUGUAGCAGUGAAAUGCGUAGAGAUCAUGAGGAAGACCAGUGGCGAAGGCGGGUCUCUGGACAGUUCCUGACGCUGAGGCACGAAGGCCAGGGGAGCAAACGGG
rnacentral:rRNA from 1 species